rnacentral:rRNA from 1 species
GAUGGCCGCAGAGAAUAGGCCCAAGCGACUGUUUACCAAAAACACAGGUUUCUGCUAAGUCGCAAGACGAUGUAUAGGAGCUGACGCCUGCCCGGUGCUGGAAGGUUAAGGGGAUCUGUUAGAGCAAUCGAAGCAGUGAACUUAAGCCCCAGUAAACGGCGGCCGUAACUAUAACGGUCCUAAGGUAGCGAAAUUCCUUGUCGGGUAAGUUCCGACCCGCACGAAAGGCGUAACGAUUUGGGCACUGUCUCAACAACAGACUGGGUGAAAUUGUAAUACCGGUGAAGAUGCCGGUUACCUGCGACAGGACGGAAAGACCCCAUGGAGCUUUACUGUAGCUUGACAUUGGGUCUUGGUACUACAUGUACAGGAUAGGUGGGAGACUAUGAAGCAUGAACGCCAGUUUGUGUGGAGUCAUCCUUGGGAUACCACCCUUGUAGUACUGGGACUCUAACCAUAGGCCUUGAAUCAGGUCUUGGGACACUGUCAGGUGGACAGUUUGACUGGGGCGGUCGCCUCCUAAA